AGUGUGGGAGCACCCACGUCUGCGUCUGCACUCGUCCUGGUGUGCGCCCGCAAACUUUCAAGCCACAAGGAUUUCACAAGGAGCUUGCAGAAAUUCCGAACCAUUGAACGGUCUGCUGUCUCCAGCACGCAGGAGCCCAUUCUGCCUCCCAGUUCCAGCUUCAGGAGGGCCACCCUCCAUCCAGACAUCAGGGUUGCGUUUCAGCAAACAGCAAGGAAGAAUCAGAAGCAAAGGGUAUCUUUUGUUCUCGUUUCCAGUGAACUCCCUCUGUGAGCCCUCACUGGCCAAACUUACGUACAUGACACGGAGAUCACCUGGAGGACCAAGGAUGUACGCAGGCAAAUGGGAAUCAAAUGUCCCUUGCUGCAGAUGAAGCAGCUUUGGAGAGUGGC